GAUGAAGAACGUAGCGAAAUGCGAUAAGUAAUGUGAAUUGCAGAAUUCAGCGAAUCAUCGAAUCUUUGAACGCACAUUGCGCCCGCCAGUAUUCUGGCGGGCAUGCCUGUCCGAGCGUCAUUUCAACCCUCAAGCCCCCGGGCUUGGUGUUGGAGAUCGGCGAGCCCCCCGGGGCGCGCCGUCUCCCAAAUAUAGUGGCGGUCCCGCUGUAGCUUCCUCUGCGUAGUAGCACACCUCGCACUGGGAAACAGCGUGGCCACGCCGUAAAACCCCCCACUUCUGAAAGGUUGACCUCGGAUCAGGUAGGAAUACCCGCUGAACUUAAGCAUAUCAAUAAGCGGAGGA
rnacentral:misc_RNA from 1 species